rnacentral:rRNA from 1 species
UACGUAGGGUCCGAGCGUUGUCCGGAAUUACUGGGCGUAAAGAGCUCGUAGGUGGUUUGUCGCGUUGUUCGUGAAAACUCACAGCUCAACUGUGGGCGUGCGGGCGAUACGGGCAGACUGGAGUACUGCAGGGGAGACUGGAAUUCCUGGUGUAGCGGUGGAAUGCGCAGAUAUCAGGAGGAACACCGGUGGCGAAGGCGGGUCUCUGGGCAGUAACUGACGCUGGAGG